rnacentral:rRNA from 1 species
GACGAACGCUGGCGGCGUGCCUAAUACAUGCAAGUCGAACGCAGUGGGGACGGGUGAGUAACACGUUGGUAACCUCCCCUCAGAGGGGAUAACACUUUGAAACAGGUGCUAAACCGAUACUGAUGGAUGGACCCGCGGUGCAUUAGCUAGUUGGUGAGGUAACGGCUCACCAAGGCCACGAUGCGUCGCUGGACGGUGAGGGUGUUCGGACACACUGUGACGGAGAUACGGCCCAGACUCCUACGGGAGGCAGCAGUAGGGAAUAUUGGACAAUGGACGAAAGUCGGAGCGAGCAACGCCGCGUGAGUGAAGAAGGUUUUCGGAUCGUAAAACACUGUUAGUAGAGAGGCGGUAUCAAAACAGAAAGCCACGGCUAACUUCGUGCCAGCAGCCGCGGUAAUUC